rnacentral:rRNA from 1 species
AACGAACGCUGGCGGCAUGCCUAACACAUGCAAGUCGAACGAGACCUUCGGGUCUAGUGGCGAACGGGUGCGUAACGCGUGGGAACCUUCCCUUAGGUUCGGAAUAACUCCCCGAAAGGGGUGCUAAUACCGGAUAAUGUCUUCGGACCAAUGAUUUAUCGCCUUUGGAUGGGCCCGCGUUGGAUUAGCUAGUUGGUAGGGUAAAAGCCUACCAAGGCUACGAUCCAUAGCUGGUCUGAGAGGAUGAUCAGCCACACUGGGACUGAGACACGGCCCAGACUCCUACGGGAGGCAGCAGUGGGGAAUAUUGGACAAUGGGCGAAAGCAUGAGCCAGCAAUGCCGCGUGAGUGAUGAAGGCCUUAGGGUUGUAAAGCUCUGUUACCCGGGAUGAUAAUGACAGUACCGGGAGAAUAAGCGCCGGCUAACUCCGUG